UGUACUACCGGCUUAGUGUUCAAACCUAUCGGAGUCACGCACAUUAGUCAAACUAAGUAAGAAGGUCUUGACCCAAUUUAAUUAAGAAUUAAAUUGUGGGUCAUUUGGAAUUUGGUUCUGUCUAUGUUCAGCUAGCACUGAACAUGAGGUACAUGCUAAAUUUCAUGGAUGAACAACUAAUUAAGUCUGUAUUUCGGGUCAAUCAAGUUUCAAUUAAUGUAAUGGAACUUGAUCAGGACUCAAUUGUUGAGAUUGGAUUUGAUUGGGUCUAAAUUAGUGUAAUUGGGCUCGAUCAUGAUUUAAGUGGAAUUUAAUUUCGUAUUUGUUCUGAUCUAAGUCGGACUUGGAUCGAGCCGAAACUGGACCCAAUUGAAUUCCCCAUGAGUCGGACAUAUGUGGAAUUUUUUCCGAGUCAAAAAUCAUUUAAAUCGGCUGUCAAUUUGGAUUAGAACCAAAUAGGCUUGCUUUAUUACAAAAUGGGCUAACCCAUUUCCUAUUUGGCUAAAACCAUUUCAAUGGUUAACGGCUGACUUGGUUUUUAAAUCCCAUUUAAAUACCUCCUGUGGACCCAUGGACCCUUAAGCUCAUGGACCCUUAAGAGAUGCUUGUGAGCCGCGAUGGAAAGGAAGCCUGGGAGCAAAAACAGAGUCUUCUCCGUCCUUGGUUCA
rnacentral:lncRNA from 1 species